GUAGUCAUAUGCUUGUCUCAAAGAUUAAGCCAUGCAUGUCUAAGUAUAAGCAAUUAUACGGCGAAACUGCGAAUGGCUCAUUAUAUAAGUUAUCGUUUAUUUGAUAGUACUUUACUACUUGGAUAACCGUGGUAAUUCUAGAGCUAAUACAUGCUUAAAACCCCGACUUCGGAAGGGAUGUAUUUAUUAGAUUAAAAACCAAUGCCCUUCGGGGCUCCUUGGUGAUUCAUGAUAACUUCUCGAAUCGCAUGGCCUUGUGCCGGCGAUGGUUCAUUCAAAUUUCUUCCCUAUCAACUUUCGAUGUUUGGGUAUUGGCCAAA
rnacentral:rRNA from 1 species